rnacentral:misc_RNA from 1 species
CCAAUUCAUCAUCACCGUCUCUUUUGCCUCACCUCCAGAGGUUUUCGUCUUCUACCAUAGACGGCUCAACAAAUGUACCUUUCUUCAUUGGUGCUGCUGGUCCACCGCCACCACCUAUGGAGAAUCAUCACCAUCAUCAGUUCCAUCCACCUGGGUUGCAGCUCUGCUACGGGGAUGGAAACAGGCAUUCUGACCAGAGAGGGAAAGGGAAGAACUGAUCACUGCUCGGAAGCAUGCCAAUCUUCCUGGAAAGCGAAGAUGGAGAAAUAUAUAGCAGCAAGCCACAAGUGAAUGCAUAUGCCUUCCUAGCUAGCAGUGGGC